AACCUGGCACAUGUAUACAUAUGUAACUAACCUGCACGUUGUGCACAUGUACCCUAAAACCUAAAGUAUAAAAAAAGUUGGAGUGAGAAAAUACUAUCUGCAAGUUUAUGUAGUAAAACUCUACAAAGUUAAUCUUAAAAAAAAAAGCUGCAUCGUCUAUAGGGGGAUCCUCGUUUACAUUAACAGCAGCAAGAAAAAUGGAUGACAACCACUUUGAACCUCAGUUUUCUCAUUUGUAAAAAUGAGAACAAGAAUACUUAUCACCCAUAAAGAAUUGUCAUUAAGGUCAAAUAAGCAAAUGAAUAUGGGGCCAGAAAAUAUAGCUGACAAAAUGUAAGAUACUAAGCAGUGGAUGGAGCUGGAGGCCGUUAUUCUAAAUGAAGUAACUCACUUAUUAUUUGAAAACCAAAUAUUGUAUGUUCUCAGUUGUAAGUGGGAACCAAGCCAUGGGCAUGCAAAGGCAUACAGAGUGGUAUAAUGGACAUUGGAGACUCAGGAGUGGGUGGGGAGAGGAGAAGGAGGGAUAAAAAAACUACAUGUUGGGUACAAUGUAUACUACUCGGGGGGCUGUUACACUAACAUCUCAGAUUUCACCACUAUGCAAUUCAUUCAUGUAAUAAAAAACCACAUGUACCCUAAAAGCUAUUGAAAUAAAAAAAAUCUUAAAAAAACCAAUAUAUUAAGUGAUGUCCAUAAUAGGCAAAUGAUCAAAUGUGUGCCAGUUAUACUUUGGGGGAAUAAAGGGAAACAUGUUUAAUUGCAUAGGAUUUUUAAAUAGCUCUAUUUUUCUAAAAUGUAUCUUUCCUUAGUACCCUUCCCCUACAAAGGGGACUAUAUAAAUUUAGAAUCUUCUGUUUAAAGUUCCACAAAAAUGGUAUUUUUUCCUCUCCAGAAAAAAAAUACAGAAAAGCUGUUUCAAAACCAAAAUCUCCUUAUUUUCCCAGAAUAGAAUGAGGCAAGUAUUUAGUACUUUAUAUCUGUUAUUAGAUAGUAUAUUUUUAUUUCACUAUUUAUAUAAAAGCUAGAAAGCUCAGGAAAAACUGCUGAAGCUAUCUAUCAUGAAUGUAAUUUUCUUAGUCAAUAAAACCCAGAAGAAAUAGUAAACUCAAUAUCCUACAACAAAUACAUCUAGAAAAUAAGUUCUUUAUCAAAAUGCAUUCUUGCUUCCUUCAAGUAUGGUCUAAAGUGGUAAACUAUUAUCACAGGAGAAAACAACUAUUUUUGAGCCAUUAAUGUCUGACAGUUCCAGAAUGCAACAAUUAAAAAUUGUUACCAACUUGUGACAAUUCCAUUAUAUACAUGGCUAAAAAGUUUUCCUGGGAGAGUGUACAAAAUAUGUUACCAAACCUAUCAAAAGCAAGCCAUGCAAUAAAAAAUGACUGAAUAAUAAUAAUAAAAAAAAGACCCACACACAAAAGAAGAAAAAAAGAGAAGCCCUUUCGAAAUAGGGAAAACAUUUCAUAAAUUCCUUGAAGACAAGAUUUGGCUCUUAGAAAGCAUGCCUACCAUACAAUCAACGCUGUGCAUUGCUAUUACCAUCUUUUGCCUCAGUAACAGCUACUGAGCUAAAAGACUACUCCAGCUAAAAGACCACAGGUAACCUUUGCAGCUGACCUAUGAAACAAAGAUUUCCAAUUUCAGCUGUCACUUUCAUAGAGUAGCACAAUUAAAACAACAGAAACGCUUAACAUUUAAUUUUCUGAACAUCAGAUAUAAUGCUACAAAUGGGUGGGAAAUGCAAACUUGGGAAAACAAAUAAAUUAAUAAGGACAUGAAUGACUGUACUCAAUACCAAAUAUAUUAUUCUCAUUUUACAGAGGAAGAAACUAAAAUCGAGAGAGGUUAAUAAUUGUGCCCGAGGCUACACAGCUACUAAGCAAACCAGAUCUAUGCUCAAAGCCCAUGCAGGACUGUAACCACGAAAGACUUCCCUGGCCAGGUGCCAUCCCUCGGUGCUUCCACGGUUACUGACGCGUGUAUUCUCCACAGCAAUUACAACUGGAUCAAAAUCAUGGAUCUACAUGCCCAUUUCACCCACUAGACUGUGACGUCAGAGUCGGUGACAUUGCCUUCAACAUCUCCGUAUGCUCAUUACCCAGGGUGGUGCUUUCUACAGAAGGUCCUCAAUCCAUCCUCCUUGAAAUGAAUGGAAACCAACCGGCAUGUGUAAUGAAUGGUUCCAAAAGAGAAUGCUCUAGGAGUGCAGCUUGGGAUGCUAGGAACACACUCCGGUCUGGAGCCCAGCUCACUCCCUGGUUCAUGGUGGAUGUCCAAAAAUAGGCAUGAAAACGAGUGAAGCGAGAAUAUGUACUUCUCAAUUCUCAAGUUAUUAUUGGUGACACCCACCACCUAGUACCAGAUCUCAGGAGGCUGAGAUGGAAAGUUAUGGGAAACUUUGUACCUCUUGCCAGUUGAAUUCAUGACACCCAAUUUUAAAUCUUUUUUCGGCCCCAAAUUUGCCCACAUGACCUAUUUCUAUUGUAACUGCCACUGGAACUUUUGACCAGGGUAAAUCUUGUGCCUUCUUCCAGUGCCUCCUGCUCCCCUCAUCAGUCCCCAUCUGUCCUCUAACCAUGCUGACUUCUGUCCAAACUGCUUCUGGACUGGCCCUGGCAUAGACCUGCAUUAGAGAUGCAAGGCAGCAAGGUGUUUAUUUAUUUAGUUAGUUAGGAAAACAGAACAAAUUCUGGGAUGUAAUGAGAAAUGACAUACACAUAAGAGGCUUAUGACCAAAAUACGUUAAUACUCAUUGCAAAAGAAGUUCUACUUUUUAGCUUUACAUUUGAAGGCUUUAAAAAUAUGUCUGAGAGUGCUAUAGAGAGUUAUACUUUCUUCCUCCCCAUGUGACCUAAACCUCCAAUUCAGCUGCUUAAAUAGCUGACACCGACCCUAAAAUGGAAAGCUCAUAUUACAGAGGAGAAAUAUG
rnacentral:lncRNA from 1 species